rnacentral:snoRNA from 1 species
UUUUUAAUUAAAAAAAAGUAAAUAGACACGGUGAAGACAGCAAGAUAAUCCCAUCACCUUGGGGGGAGGGACUGUGUCGCGCCCAUCAGAGUGAACAUGGGGGGUCUACACCC